GAUGAACGCUAGCGGCAGGCUUAACACAUGCAAGUCGAGGGGUAUGCUGAUUUAUCGGCAGAGACCGGCGCACGGGUGCGUAACGCGUAUGCAAUCUACCUUUCACAGAGGGAUAGCCCAGAGAAAUUUGGAUUAAUACCUCAUAGUAUAGCAGUUUCGCAUGAAACCACUAUUAAAGUUCCAACGGUGAAAGAUGAGCAUGCGUCCCAUUAGCUAGAUGGUAAGGUAACGGCUUACCAUGGCUACGAUGGGUAGGGGUCCUGAGAGGGAGAUCCCCCACACUGGUACUGAGACACGGACCAGACUCCUACGGGAGGCAGCAGUGAGGAAGUAUUGGUCAAUGGGCGCAAGCCUGAACCAGCCAUGCCG
rnacentral:rRNA from 1 species